CCUUGAGGGUAUUUAUAAACACCUUCUCAUAACCUUCAUUGCAGCCCUGCAAAAUGAAUAACAAGUGAGAUGGCCUUCAUCUGGCAGGAGGGAAAUUGAGGCAUCUAACAGAUAGUCAGCAAAGAAAAUUGGGGUCUAGAUCACUCUCUCUUUGGCAGCCAUUCUUGUGCCUUCACUUCCUUGACCUCAGGCAUCUGCUGUGGUCAUUGAAACCCACUGGAAAAUAAUAGAUCGGAUAAAAGCAUUUUAUGGAAGAUGUGGCCUGUGCCAAGUUCCUGCCUCAGUUGAAGAGAUGGGAUUAUUCUGUGCCCAUGUUGGCAGACUUCAGGUGGGAGGACACGUGUGCCCCCAUGACAAAGGGACAGAUGAAAGGGAGACGGAGACGGAUUACCUGGUUUAUGAAUUCCACAAAUGAAACCCUCGGCCUGAAGGAUCACGUUUCCUGAAGUGUGCCAAGGGUGAGGAGGGGGUGUGUGUGCUCCCAGAAGACCCUAAUCACCCCCAGAAAGUAAGCAGCUUCCAGCCCUCCACAUCCGACUUCCUGAGGCUCAAUUAGUUGGGCCUGGACAACACCACUCUAGCUGCCACUAAAACUCAGAAGCCACGUUUUCCAGACUGUCUUUAUUUCUCCAAAUAUUUUGGGUCCAGGCCUAACUGCCAUUCAACCACAGGCCUUAGAAUUGAGCCUGGCAUUUCAUAUCCUUUGCCAGUUUUCAAAAUAAAUCUUUCCCCUGGAGACAAAUAUUGGCCUCCCUUAGAAGCCUGGGCCUGGCUUAGCUGCGUUUCCCUCCACUCAGACAGGAGUCCAGAAGAUCAAGAACCACCACCAUGUUUCACGAUCCUUCACCAGGCUGGGGCCCUAUCCUACCUUUCUGAGCACAGUGGUGUGAGGGGGGACACCGUGUAGGGGAGGCUCCAGGGAGGCCCCCUGAAGCAGGGGUAGGGGGGCAAGGGGGCUGGUGAGAGCUGGCCUCCCCCACACUCCUGGCCCCCAGCUGGAGCUAGGAGACCUGCCAUCGCUUGGUUUGAACACCUCCUCCCUAUUGAAAUCUCUUCUCGGGCUGCCAGUAAUGAGCCCCAAAGAAAGGCUUUCCUGACUCAACUUACCUCUGUGUACUUGGUCACUGAUUGACAAACCUGCAAGGUGAACAACAGCCUGUUGAAAAGUAACCCAGAAUCAACUGUCUUGAUACUUGCUAAUUUGUUUACUAAUUCAGGUACUGAGCCUCUGCCACGUAUCAGGUUCCACAAGGAAAAAGAAGGCGGAGAUGCCACAGGGCUGCCUGCAAGGAGCCUCCCCCCCCAGGAAGGAAGAGUUAAAGAACAGAUGAACAAACGCAGUAGCAUGAGAGGAAGGGAUUCUGGCUUUCAGGAGAAUUCCAGGAUGGAGGAAAUGGGGAGAGCUGGUGUUUCAAGGGAGGGAUGGUGUUUGAGCUGGGCCCAAGGACAGGUGGUAGCUGAAAAGGAGAGGGCACCCCAGGGGUUCUGCAUGAGGUUACUGGAGCCCACGGAUUGUUUUGGGUACAGGUAUCCCCCACUUUUUAAAAGUUCGAGUUACACCACUUUGGUUUUGCAAAAGACCUACUACAUCAGUAGCUAACUGAAAGAAAUCCAAGGAGGAUUUUCGCUUUUAUGGAAGAAAAGGAAAAAAAAAAUGGUGCUUGGCCUUGGUUUUUUGUAGAAGCAGCGGGGCCCUGAGCAGGGGAGUGGCACCGACCAGCUCCUUCCCUGGAAACCACAUUUAGCAUGAAGCCACCAGAGCUCUGAGCUGUGUCUGUGAGCAUCUGUGCUUCAGUUUGAUUUAUUUUGUGUGUCCACAGCAAGAUGUGACCUAAGGUAUCCGAAAAGCCUAAGAGAGGUGGCUUUCUGGGUCUGGGGAUGCUCAAAAAUUUUUUCAGAUGAAUUAAUGAUAACUGCUUCUUCACUUUGCACCAUUUCUGCCCACAAAAGUUUGCAGAAGACCCUGGCUUCUGGGUGGGGUUGGGGGGAGCCGCAUGUAGAUGGAGGUGGAGGAUGGAAGGAUGCACUUGAGUUUGGCAGAAACUACCCUCAGCAUUUCCCCCACUUUGCCAUUUCCUGUGUUGUUCCUGACUAUCCAUAUGCCAAGGACACGUAGCAUCCCCGGGCCUCCCUCCUGAGGGUCCUUGGACCCCCCGCAUUGGGGUGACCCCACGGCCAACCUCAUUGAAGGUGCCCCU